AGGCCUAACACAUGCAAGUCGCACGAGAAACGGAGCAAUCCGCGGUACAGUGGCGCACGGGUGAGUAACACGUGGAUGACCUUCCCUGGAGUGGUGGAUAACCUGCCGAAAGGCGGGCUAAUACAGCAUAGGACCACGACGCUUUGGCGAUGUGGUGAAAGCGGGCCUCUAUAUAUAAGCUCGCGCUCCGGGACGGGUCCGCGUCCCAUCAGCUAGUUGGUGAGGUAACGGCUCACCAAGGCAACGACGGGUAGCUGGUCUGAGAGGAUGGCCAGCCACACUGGAACUGAGACACGGUCCAGACUCCUACGGGAGGCAGCAGUGGGGAAUCUUGCGCAAUGGGCGAAAGCCUGACGCAGCGACGCCGCGUGGGCGAAGAAGGCCUUCGGGUUGUAAAGCCCUGUGGGGGAGAACGAACCGUACGGGGGCGAAUACCCUCCGUGCCUGACGGUACUCCUUUAGCAAGCAUCGGCUAACUCUGUGCCAGCAGCCGCGGUAAU
rnacentral:rRNA from 1 species